rnacentral:rRNA from 1 species
UAUUUAUAUGAGAGUUUGAUCCUGGCUCAGGAUGAACGCUGGCGGCGUGCCUAAUACAUGCAAGUCGAACGAGUUCUCGUUGAUGAU